UGGGGAAUAUUGGACAAUGGGGGAAACCCUGAUCCAGCAAUGCCGCGUGUGUGAAGAAGGCCUUCGGGUUGUAAAGCACUUUUGGCAGGGAAGAAAUGCCACGAGUUAAUACCUUGUGGUUUUGACGUCACCUGCAGAAUAAGCACCGGCUAACUCCGUGCCAGCAGCCGCGGUAAUACGGAGGGUGCGAGCGUUGUCCGGAAUCACUGGGCGUAAAGGGCGCGUAGGCGGCUCACUAAGUUGCCGGUGAAAUCCCGGGGCUCAACCCCGGGCGGUCUGGUAAGACUGGUGAGCUCGAGCACGGUAGAGGCAGAUGGAAUUCCCGGUGUAGCGGUGGAAUGCGUAGAGAUCGGGAAGAACACCAGUGGCGAAGGCGGUCUGCUGGGCCGUUGCUGACGCUGAGGCGCGACAGCGUGGGGAGCAAACAGGAUUAGAUACCCUGGUAGUCCACGCCGUAAACGAUGGACACUAGGCGUCGGGGGGAGCGACCCCCUCGGUGCCGUCGCUAACGCAGUAAGUGUCCCGCCUGGGGAGUACGGCCGCAAGGUUA
rnacentral:rRNA from 1 species